GCACUCGCUUUGGCAGCACAAGUAUUAAAAUUGGAAAGACACAGAGCAGGUCAGCAUGGCCCCUGCACAAGGGUGACAUGCAAAUUUAUGAAGCAUUCCAUAUUUUU
rnacentral:snRNA from 1 species